CCCUGUCAUAGGAGCCCAGGAUGACCCUCAUGCCGUCUCGCUCCUUAUGCGGCUGCGGCAGAUUCAAGAAGACGUUCAGCUUCUCCACCAUGUCAUUCUCCUGCUUACCCUGUUGUGCAGCUUUGUCGGCGAGCAUGUGAAUUCCAGACAGGCCUUUCAGAGCCUGCUUCAGGGGCCCCCACGUGCUGCUGUUCAGAGCGGCCCAGUAGGGAAGCCGGGUCGGGUCAGACCCUAUGGCACUUAGCUCCUUCCCGAAUAUGAGAUCUGCCGCGUUGUCGAUGACCCUCGACGCGAUCAGCUCAGCCCUGUCCCGAAGCUUGUGAAAGCUGUUGUAGAUGGUCCGGAUCAGCUCCCGGCUGAUGGCAAACUGAGCUUGGAUGUCAGCUGGGAGGAAGUCCUUGGCCCUGGUAGCCAGCUUACAGUUCAUGAAUUCGUCCCCAACACACCGCGCUGAUUCCUUUAACUUGUUCUGCACAACCUGAAUGAGCCUUCGAAUCAGGAGACACCCAGGAGAUACAAAGGGAAACCCUAAUAUGCAGCUGUUCGCGCAUCCAGGAAUUCUAGAAUUUCAGAGAUGCCUUAAACAUCAUCUGACUCGACUCUCACUUUACAAAACAAACAAAGAAACAAAAAAGAAACACCUGAGGUCAAGCGUGUAGUCCCAGCUAAUCAAAGCCUGAGGUGGGAGGAUUGCUAGCCUGGGUAACAUAGGCACAUCCAAACAAAACUGGGAUUCUGCUGCUAAUAAGAAGACAGAAAGCUCCAGAUAAAAUGGAGCAGGCCAAGCUCUCUAGAUGAGUCUAAUAACACACAGCAAAGACAGAGGAACACUGGAUGAAACGCCAUUCAUCAUUCGUGGCCAAGUGUUUGGAAAGAAAAGAGCUAACAUAAUGUGCUUUCUAAAUGCCAAUGAUCUUGACAUCCCUGAUAAAGAGAAGCCAAUGAAGGAAGAGAAUAGCUCAGUAGGAGAGCUGACUUCUAAGUGCCAGUGGGAGAAGUAAAAUAUUUAUAAUAACU
rnacentral:lncRNA from 13 species